rnacentral:rRNA from 1 species
UGCGUAGGCGGUUUAUUAAGUUUAAGAUGAAAGGCUGGGGCUCAACUCCAGUUUGUCUUAAAAACUGGUAAGCUUGAGUAUGGUAGAGGUAAAUGGAAUUUCUAGUGUAGCGGUGGAAUGCGUAGAUAUUAGAAGGAACACCAGUGGCGAAAGCGAUUACUAGGCCAAAACUAGACGCUGAAGCACGAAAGCGUGGGGAGGCAAAUA